CCUACGGGAGACUGCAGUGAGGAAUAUUGGUCAAUGGGCGAGAGCCUGAACCAGCCAAGUCGCGUGAGGGAGGACUGCCCUAUGGGUUGUAAACCUCUUUUGUCGGGGAGCAAAAGCCGGACGGGUCCGGCUGUGAGAGGACCCGAAGAAAAAGCAGCGGCGAACUCCGUGCCAGCAGCCGCGGUAAGACGGAGGAUGCGAGCGUUAUCCGGAUUUAUUGGGGUUACAGGGGGCGCAGGCGGAUUUUUAAGUCAGCGGUCAAAGCGUGGGGCUCACCCCCAUCCAGCCGUUGAAACUGGGGAUCUAGAGUGUGCGAGAGGUAUGCGGCCUGCGUGGUGUAGCGGUUACAUGCUUAGCUCUCACGCAGAACCCCGAUUGCGAAGGCAGCAUACCGGUGCACACCUGCCGCUCAGGCACGACAGCGUGGGUAUCGAACAGGAUUAGCUACCCCGGUAGUC
rnacentral:rRNA from 1 species